GGCGGUCUAGACGGUUUGAUUCCCGAAAAGGGUGAUUACCGCGUACCGCCAAUGAGCCCACUCUGGGCAAAUACGGCUAAAAAGGCAGCUCGAGGUGCAUCCCAACUGGUUCGUGCGUCGCCUUCGGAAAAUUGUUGCCCCUUCAAGUUACCGUUGCUGUUGCAACACCCGCGCGCUGUGGACACUCAGGACGCCUGCAUGCAAGUGAUCUCCCCGUGCAAUGCGUGGGGGGAGGCUUGGUAGGCUAGACCGCUGUGGCUACGCGAGCGCAUGAGUGGUUUUGGACCCGUGUCUGCCGGUAGAUCCCCCGUCUUUGUGCGGCCGACUACCGGCGCCGUGUCCCGUCGGUUCUGUCGCUUAUGUUACUGUUGCCUUUCAAGUGCUUGCGUGCUGGUACCCGAACUACGGGUAGUGGUGCUCAACACACGUUGCCUCGCGGUGGACACCUUCGGGUGUGCCGCUGCGGCCAAAUGGCGCUUGCGGCGUUGCCUCGUGGCACCGGCACGUUAACUCUGCCGGUGCUAUCAAGGAAACCUUGCUCCCGCUAUUGGUCUCGGAUGUUGCCUACGCUAAAGUCUCUUGGCCCGUUCGGUUGCCUUGACCCGACCCUAAGAAGCUCUCCGAAAAAUUGAGAACAACCGGAACAGGUGUUGCCUCUACCUCUCCACAGUUAGUGGUAGGAUUACGCAACAUUCUGCGCCGAUCCUCAAACUAGUAGGAUGAGCUUAGCCCGCUCAAUCGCGACAACCGGCCCGGCCGUUGCCUCUGCCUUGACACGCAAGUGGAUGGGCGGACAACUUCCGACGCUGGACGUCAAAGAGGACGUG
rnacentral:misc_RNA from 1 species